AUGCAGUUGCUCAUCAUAGCGUUCCAACCAAGUGCGCAGUUCAGAGACCUGGUAGCCGUCGGGGCCACGGCCACCUUGGUACAUAAUAGUGCCACUCUGGAUGACAUAGAGACGCUCGAAGUAGGCGCCAUAGGCCGAGCUGCUGGAGUUGGCCAUGGUGUCGAGGACCAGAGCGCAGCCGGGCGCGCCUUGCUGCAGUACCCUAGCUGCGCUGACCCGGUCUUCCAGGCUCCGGUGCUGCGGGAUGAUGUAGGGGGAGUCAGUGGUGACCCAGCCGUCGGAGGGGUGCGCUUCCUCGAUGUAGAUGAUGAGGAAGUCGACGUCGCGCUGGUACUUGGUGACCAGGCGCUGGAAGGCGCUCAUGCGCGCCAUGAACGGUGGUCAGGUGCAGCUGCCGAAAUUGAGAACCAGCGGGCGGUUCCCUUGCGCGUAGUCGAGGAUGCGCUGGCUCUGGAAGCCGUCGGGCAGAACCACCUCGGAGUUGGGCGCCGGACCGCCCUCGUGAGCCUGCUUGAAGAAAUCCAACUUCUGGCCAUGCCACACCGCCUUGAGCGACGCCAGGGUGCACAGGCGGUUGUCGUCGGACACGCAGAUGGGCGGGUCAUCGGGAGGCACCUCCUCGCCUUCACUGUUGAGCUCCACUUCGGGCUCGGGCUGCCCCCGGCGGCGGCGGCCCAGGAAAUGCUUGCGGAUGCACAAGAAAUCGAGGAGCCAAAGCAUGAAGGCCGUGCCGAGGAAGCGCGGGAAGAGCACGAGGCACGAGGCGGUCUGGGCGCAGAGCCUCAAGGAGUGAAGCAGCAGGGAGCGGAGCAUGGUGGCUGCAGGCCCCGAAGCCCCCUGGGACCCCUCGCCCUCUCCGACCACCAACCGCGACGCGGCCUGGCUAGGCAUCUGGGCUUCGGCAGUGCAGGGAGUUCAAUUUAUAGCCGAGGCUUCAAUUGGCGGGAGACUCCACCUCCGGCCCGGCCCGCCCCCUUGCAACUUGAGCCCGGAGGGAUCACCCAGCGGCGCGGCCAAUGCCCUAGAAAUCGUGGGCUGAGGGCGGGCGCAGGCGGGCGGAGGGCGGAGCGGCCGGGCCUGGGGCCGGUGGGGGCGGGCCCGGGCCCCGCAGCCAGCUCUCGGGGCCGGGGGACUCCGGUCGCCGCUGCCGCUGGGGAUCGGGAGCCCGACCCGGGACCUGGGCGUCCGCUGGGAGGUCCUCCAGCUGGCGCGAGCGCUGCACGCCGCCCUGGUCCCCGCCGCCUGGCUCCAGCCCGCGCCCCCCUCGCCGCGCACCUGAGCCGAGCUCCCCGGCGGCCGCCGAGCCGCGCCGGAGCUCCGGUUCGCUUCCCGCGCGCCGCCGCCAACGCCGCCCACGCCGCUGCCGCUCGUGCGGGGCCGCUGCCCAGGUGCCGCGGGAGGCCGGGUCCGCGGCCGCCGCUUCGGUGGCCCCGGCUCCCGCCCCACCGAGGACGCUGGCCCGCGAGGAGGCAACUUUGCGUUCCCGCCGCCUUCCCGGCUCGCCCGCGGGCGCCGCUCGCCUGCCGGAGCCCGCCCGCCCGCCUCCCGCGCGCGCUCACACUCGCGCCUCGCACACGGCCGCCCCCCGCACCGCCCCGCCACGCACACCGCGCUCCGCGCCCCCGCCGCUGCCCGAGGCUGCCGCGCGCUGCCCCAGCCCGCGCCCUGGCCGCGCCCCGUCCCAUCUCGUUCCAGCGGGGCGCCGCGGUUCCUGGGUCAGCGGCCGCCGGGGCCCGGCUGAGAGGUGCGGAGGGCAGAGCCCGCUGGCUGGUUACCGCCGGGCACCGGAGACCGGAGGGCUGGGGAAAGCGGCGCCGGCCCUGCGCCCUAGCCGACCCGGGCGCGGGGCGCCACGGGCGUGGGGCGCGGGGCAGCGGGCGCGGGGCGGCGCCGGGCGGCUCUCCCACUAGGGGUAGCUGUUGCCUGAACGCCGGAGCGCUCCCCUCUCGCCGCUUGCCUCGCCCAGCGCAGCCCCGGCCGCUGGGCGCACCCGUCCCGUUCGUCCCCGGACGUUGCUCUCUACCCCGGGAACGUCGAGACUGGAGCGCCCGAACUGAGCCACCUUCGCGGACCCCGAGCGCGGCGGCGCGACUCACCGCGGAGGCGCCCGGACGCGUCAAGUGUCCGAUGGAUCUGAUGGAAAGGUGGCAGGCGAAAUGCACCUGGCCUCAGCAUCAAGGGCCGUGAAUGCCGUGGCAGUCGUAGCUAUGUGGUCGGAGUGGACUAGGAUGGUCCUUCCACCAAGAAGGCUGGGCCUUCCUGCUCCUCGUUGUCCAGCUGCAGAAAGUGAUUGGGCUUGACACAACUGCCCCUUCCUCCACACACUCCCAAAUAUACCUACCCCUCCCCAACCCAGUCCUCCUCGCCAGACUGUGGCUCCCGGGUGACAGGGCAGAGUUGGACUCACCUCUGUCUGCCAGGCCAGCUCUCCAUGGGGGCAGGUCCCAAGAGGCCUCUGGAUUUGGACCAACUUCAGUGUGAGCUUGAGCAAGCCCUUAGCCUCCCUCAGCCUCCGUUGCAUGAGGCGUUGUGCUGGUACGUCUCAGAGCAGGUGGCGCUACCUGGUGAGCCUGUCCAUCAGACAGGCUGUCCAUCAGACAGAGCCUGGGUGGCUCUGUCCAUCAUCUUUGUCACUGUAAUGCUGGUUAACAAAUAAACAUGAAACAAUGAGUGGUCAUUUCUCAGGUGCCAUGGAAUCGAUUUAGUGGGUCCAGGGCUCAGCUAGGGCAGGCUCCCUGGUGGGCCCGGCUGGGACGGUGGCCGCUGUGCUCUGCUCCAUACCUCUGAUCUUCUGCAAACUUGCCCAGGCCUGAUCUCAUGGCAACGGCAGAGGCACACGAAGGAAGAAGCACCCACACCUGAGCAGCAGGGAGCCACUUGUGCUGCGUCUACUCACCCUGCAUGGGCUCACGGCAGCCGUGGGUGAGCACUCACAUGGGAGCAGAGGGCCUGGCGAGGCUGCUUGGCCAAGGGUCUGGGUGCAGGGAGACGUGAAGACUAGGGCUCUUUGCAAUCUGCCACAGCGAGUGAGCCAAGGUGUCACCCGGGGACUUCUGAUGGUGGUCACCCACCACCCGGGUACUCCAGCUGGACCAGACCUAGCCCUGUCUUGAGGGAAAGACAGAUCCUUGCCUCAUCUCUUACCACAACCGCACCCAAGGCUGGUGGAGUCCACAGCCGUAGGGAGGCAGCUUCGGGGACAGGGUGGGAGGCUAGAGGCCUCUUGUAUUCCAAAGGGCACAGAUGUAUGGGACAAAGCAGGGAACGACCCAGCAUCCCACUUGGUCAUGUUCCUGCCAGGAGACUUAGGUGCUGUCCGUGGCUUCAUCUCUACCACAGAGACUGGACUUGGGCUUUGUAAAGGUAGCCCCCAGGGCUAUGGUUCAGUCUCUUUGUAGAGAGACAGAGAGUAAGGGUGAGAGUGAGCCAUGGAGAGAAAGAGGGGGCAGGCCUAGUCUCUGCCUCUAAUUAUUUGCCUCUUCCUCUUCUGCAAGUCCCCCUCAGUGGAGGUGGGAUGGAGUGUGCAGGGGUUGAGGACUGGGGGAUGGGUAUGUGAUGUGAACCCUUUUCCAUGGUUCUGAUGGCCUCACCCUGGGAGCCUGGGAGCUGGUCUGUGGGGUAAUUCCGUGGGCAGAAGGGUUGGGGUGGGAGUGGGGGAUCCCUUGGAAGCAGGGCUCUGUAGCCUUGUCUCCCUUCCCUUCCUGGGGGGUGGCUGUUCCUGGGAGGGGCGGGUGGUUGUAUUUGGAACAGGAGCCUGUUACAGUUAAGCAGUUCAAGAUGCUGGAAAUGGAGUUCCCAGGAUGACUGGAAAAUCCAUGCUGCGUUAUUUUUCAGGAGCACAGUGACAGUGGCACUGACUACUCUGCCUGGCAGACAGAAGUAGCAGGGAUGUUUUCAAACUCAUAUUGAGCUUGGUGUGUUUUCACAUGUUAAUCCUGCAGUAGGG
rnacentral:lncRNA from 1 species